rnacentral:rRNA from 1 species
GGAGCGUUCUGUAAGCCUGCGAAGGUGUACCGCGAGGUAUGCUGGAGGUAUCAGAAGUGAGAAUGCUGGCAUGAGUAGCGACAAAGAGUGUGAGAAACACUCUCGCCGAAAGUCCAAGGGUUCCUGCGCAAGGCUAAUCCGCGCAGGGUGAGCCGGCCCCUAAGGCGAGGCCGAAAGGCGUAGUCGAUGGGAACUAGGUUAAUAUUCCUAGGCCUGGUGGAUGUGACGAAUGGUGGCAGCAGUGUGGGCUUAACGGAUUGUCCAUGCUGUGAAACUGUUCCAGGAAAUAACACCACCGUAUAGACCGUACCCCAAACCGACACAGGUGGACAGGUAGAGCAUACCAAGGCGCUUGAGAGAACUCUGUUGAAGGAACUCGGCAAAUUACUCCCGUAAGUUCGCGAGAAGGGAGCCUGGCAUUAGGCAACUGGUGUCCAGGGGCACAGACCAGGGGGUGGCGACUGUUUAUUAAAAACACAGGGCUCUGCGAAGUCG